UUUAGCAGCUAUUUCUACUAUUUAUUUGUUGUCAUAUCCACGGUGGUUUGUGCGCAGGCUGUUUGGAGGCUGUGUUUUUGUGUGCUGUGUUCUUUCUGUGCAGGGUGUGACUGGCAGGUGCUGCGGCACAGGUGUUGCUCAUCUGAGAGCAAUCAGCUGGGCUACUUAGGGAGUGAAAACCCAGAGUGAGGCGUCGGCUCAUUUUCUCACUUGGCGUGGUAACUGCUAGACCUCUGCUUCUCUGCAGUCCUGCUUCCAAGCAGUUUCUCUGACCUCGUUUUUUACCCCCCCUGCCUUGAAGAUCCCCCUUUGCUGAAGGAAGUCGUGGAACCUUUCUGGUCUCCGUUUUCACUUGUGUCAUGUUCAGAGGAGUUUGGGAACUCCAGCCUCAACAUUUCUGCCUUGAGCCUCCUUUCUGUUUCCAACUCCAAGUCCAGCUUCUCAGGAGCCACCUGAGAAUCACAGUCCAACGCUAAGACCCUCCAACCAUAGGGGAGUUUCCUGGAAGAGAAGAAACAAAGCACUUCAUCCUCUGAAAACUGUUCACAGCCUCAAGCCACCGUGGAGAAGGAAUUAUUUUCGCCCAGUCUUGCCAAGAACCCCUAGAGACCCCGUUUGUCCGCCAGCUCCAGUCCAACCUUUAUCCAUGUUUCUAAAUAAACUGUUAAAACGC